rnacentral:misc_RNA from 1 species
GUAGGUGAACCUGCGGAAGGAUCAUUAACUAUACAAGGCCAAGGGGCAAGCUUUCCGAAAGGAUCGAGCUUGCUCUCUGAACCCUACCCUUGCUUUUUGCGUACCCAUUGUUUCCUCGGCAGGCUUGCCUGCCAGUAGGACCUCCUUAAACCCUUUGUAAUUGCAGUCAGCGUCAGAAACAACGUAAUCGUUACAACUUUCAACAACGGAUCUCUUGGUUCUGGCAUCGAUGAAGAACGCAGCAUCUGAC